rfam:Ciona savignyi cont_32285, whole genome shotgun sequence.
GUCGUCGUGGCCGAGUGGUUAAGGCGACAGACUAGAAAUCUGUUAAGCUCUGCCCGCACAGGUUCGAAUCCUGUCGGCGACG